AUUGAACGCUGGCGGCAGGCCUAACACAUGCAAGUCGAGCGGGGUUUUCGGACCUAGCGGCGGACGGGUGAGUAAUGCGUAGGAAGCUGCCCGAUAGAGGGGGAUACCAGUUGGAAACGACUGUUAAUACCGCAUAAUGUCUACGGACCAAAGUGUGGGACCUUCGGGCCACAUGCUAUCGGAUGCGCCUACGUGGGAUUAGCUAGUUGGUGAGGUAAUGGCUCACCAAGGCGACGAUCUCUAGCUGGUUUGAGAGGAUGAUCAGCCACACUGGAACUGAGACACGGUCCAGAAUCCUACGGGAGGCAGCAGUGGGGAAGAUUGGACAAUGGGCGCAAGCCUGAUCCAGCCAUGCCGCGUGUGUGAAGAAGGCCUUCGGGUUGUAAAGCACUUUCAGCGAGGAGGAAGGGAUGUAUGUUAAUAGCAUGCAUUUUUGACGUUACUCGCAGAAGAAGCACCGGCUAACUCUGUGCCAGCCGCCGCCGUAACAC
rnacentral:rRNA from 1 species